rnacentral:misc_RNA from 1 species
AAAUUGUAUGAACAGUUAUUUAUUAUAUCAUGUGCAUAUAUAGUAUUAUGUGUAGUUCUAUAUGUAGAGUGUGUGUUUUUGAUGCGUGCAAUAUGUGACCUUUGUUUUUUUUUGUUUUUUUUUACAUUUUCUAUUUUGAUCUCUGAAGUUCAACAUUAAUUACAGUAGAAAAUUUGAAACAACAAGGUAUACAUGUUUAUACCUACUGUAGAGAUUUCCUGGAACAAGUCUAUAAGCAUAUUAAGUGAUUUGUAAUUUACUGUCUGUGUCUUUACAGUCUUAAAAAUAUUAUGACUAAUUCCAGUAAAUUUUAUUUUUAGAAAAUUCAAAGGACAUUGUACUAUGUAUGCUCUGGGAUAUUUUAAAUUGUUGAGAAAAUAGUACUUUACAUUUAUAAAAAUUUUAUGUCUUCUCUGAAGAUUGUAGGUACAUUUACAAUGUUUCUUUGAAUAUCCAAGAUCAAUAUUAAAUUACAUGUAUAUAACUGUAGUUAAUGGGUUUUUUUUUCAAAUCAUAAAAACCUGACCGUGCUGUUAGAUCUCUGUGUACAACUACAUUUAUAUGCAUUUUGAUUAAAUUAUCAAAUAAUCAUUU